GUGCUCACUUCGGCAGCACACAUACUAAAACUGGAACGCUACAGAGAAAAUUGGCAUGGCCCCUGCAAGGAUGACCCAAGUCAGGAGAGCGCUGUUCUAGUUAGUA